AUCAGCUUGGAGUGGGAGAAACUAUGAGUCACUUGGUUGUUUUCAGUAAGUGGCAGGGAGUUUAAAAAGAGAACGGAUAGCUACAUUCCAAAUCGCAAAAAAUGUAAAAAAUCAUAUGGGCAUGAAUAACAUUCAGCCACAAAUAUUUAUGAAGCUUCUGCUGUGUGCCAGACAAAAUGGCUGGGUAUUAGGACUAUGACAGUGAAGAUAACACAGCCCUUGCUCUCAAGGAUUUACAGUUGAUGAGAAAGGCAGACAAAUCCAGGAGGCAUUAUAAUCCACCAUGACAGCUGCUGAGCUCUUCUGUGGGAAUUUGCAGCAGUGGCACCCACAUAUGUGGGCAUUUGGAGAAAGUGGGGAAAGCUUCCAGGAGGAAAUGAUGUCUUAACUGGGACAGAAGCAAGAAGAGUCAGCCAGCUUGGAUCUCCUGACCUUGGCCUGGACCUGGAUCUGGGAGGCUGACUCUAUUGACCAUGGGGAAGGAGCUAACAGGAUUGAACCUCAGGACCGUCCUCUGCAAAAUGAGGAAUUUAGGCUAGCACAGUGGUUCUCAAAGUGUGGUCCCCAGACCAGCGACCUCAGCAUCGCCCUGGAACUAGUUAGAAAUGCACAUUCUCUGGUCCCAACCCAGACCUACUGAACCAGUGCCUCUGGGAGUGGAUCCCAGAAAUCUGUGUUUUAACACACGUGCUAUCUAGGAGGUUCUGAUGCAGGCCAAAGUUCGAAAACCGCUGAACUGGAAGAUCUCUAAAAUUCCUCCUAGGAGAUAAACCUUUAAGACUUGCUAUAAGAAUUAAGUGCCAUGAUUAUGGUGCAUAUUAUUUAUGAAACUUGUUCAAUGUGCCCUGCCCUUCCUAUUCAUUAUCUCUACAACCUCCUUCUAAAAUAAGUAUCAAUUAAAAGUAUUUUCCAAAUGAGCAAAAGGAGGCCCGGAGAGGUUAAAUAAUUCAUCAGGAGACACGCAGCUGGAGAUGAACAGGAGGAGGAUUUGAAUGGGAAGCCAUCUCAGUGUGCUCUCUCUACUACCUCCCAUGAGCAAACACAGUGACAAGUGAACUCAAUGAAUAUCAUUUUCCGGUGAUUCUGUGACCUUUGAGUACCUGCAUCCUCCUACCUUAACCAACUUUGCCAGCCUCCUUCACUGCCCUACCUGAUCGACAGUAAUUUCCAGCUCUCUUCCUUCCCCCAUGCUCAGCCCAACACCCAGCCCUGGCUUUCUCACCUUCCUGGGACCCCCUGCGUUCCACGGUAGUGAACAGAGACACACGACAGCCAUUCCGUGGAUCUACAGUGACUGUUCUCCUGGACACAGAGCCAACGUGGCUACUGAAGGAAAGAGGCCAGUCCUAAGUUCAGGAUCUGUGACGGCCUGGAAAAUGUACUCUGUCCCCCCACAACCUCCCGCUACAACCUCCCCCUAAAAGAAAAACUUUCUACAGGCCAGGGUCAAAGGAACCUAAUGUGAAAAUGUUUCAGUCUUUUGAUGAAGUAUUCCAGAACACAGAACUCCUUAUCAUACAGAACAUCAAGUUCCUUUAAGAUAUGGGUUGCUAUCUCCAAUUCAUUUUGGGAAGAGGCUACCUUCAUCCCCAAACAGGAACUGCUGCAAGGCCCGCAGCAGCCAUGGGUGAGUGGCUCUGGAGAUGGGGUAAGUGGCCUACGCACCCCAGAGGAACAGCUGGCAGCCUAGUCUUCGGGCAGCAGCUCCACUCAGCCCUGGGGAAUGACAGAUACAGGUGUGUUCCCUCAGGUACCCUCCUACAGCUCCCCUCCACUGUCCCCUCCCUAAGGGGGUACAAUUCAGCUCUUUUGCCCUAAAGAGCAUUUGGAUGGAAAGUUUGAGAUGUCCUAACAUGUUCUGAGAUCUUGUUACUGGUGGCGAAUCCAUACAGGUCUGCAGCAACCUCAAUUCUUGCCUCUUCAGAACACAGAAUUCAACCAAGGGACCUAAGGCAGAAGGAGAGACCAAGGUCACUGAAGCAGGAGCUGUCACCAGGUAUAAUCAGCCAGCACUCACCGGGACAUGAAGGAACGCCUUUGCUUCUGUCUUCCUCAUGGUAUUUCCCUCCAGGGGCAGGCGCUCAAUCUUCCCAGUCUGGGCAAAGAGUAAAUGGGUCCCAGGAGGCAAGGGGAUCACGGCGGUAGGCACCGCAGGUCCUUGGUGAAUCGGGGGAGCCACUGUACUCAGACCUGCAUGGCAGAGGGGGUCAGUGAGGGAGGCCCGUGUGCACCAGGAACACACAGAUGCACA
rnacentral:lncRNA from 1 species